rnacentral:rRNA from 1 species
GGAGGAACACCAGUGGCGAAGGUGGUUCUCUGGACCUUUCCUGACGCUGAGAAGCGAAAGCGUGGGGAGCAAACAGGCUUAGAUACCCUGGUAGUCCACGCCGUAAACGGUGGGUACUAGGUGUGGGUCUCAUUCCACGAGAUCCGUGCCGUAGCUAACGCAUUAAGUACCCCGCCUGGGGAGUACGGCCGCAAGGCUAAAACUCAAAGGAAUUGACGGGGCCCCGCACAAGCGGCGGAGCAUGCGGAUUAAUUCGAUGCAACGCGAAGAACCUUACCUGGGUUUGACAUGUGCCGGAAGUAUUCAGAGAUGGGUGCGCCUUUUUGGUCGGUACACAGGUGGUGCAUGGCUGUCGUCAGCUCGUGUCGUGAGAUGUUGGGUUAAGUCCCGCAACGAGCGCAACCCUCGUCCAAUGUUGCCAGCAGUUCGGCUGGGGACUCAUUGGAGACUGCCGGGGACAACUCGGAGGAAGGUGGGGAUGAGGUCAAGUCAUCAUGCCCCUUAUGUCCAGGGCUUCACGCAUGCUACAAUGGCUGGUACAAAGAGCUGCGAGCCUGUGAGGGUGAGCGAAUCUCAGAAAGCCAGUCUCAGUUCGGAUUGGGGUCUGCAACUCGACCCCAUGAAGUCGGAGUCGCUAGUAAUCGCAGAUCAGCAACGCUGCGGUGAAUACGUUCCCGGGGCUUGUACACACCGCCCGUCAAGUCAUGAAAGUCGGUAACACCCGAAGCCGGUGGCCUAUCCCUUGUGGGGGGAGCCGUCGAA